GUUCUUACACAAUGUCCGGUUAAGUGUCGGUUAACUUUAACCAGACAUUGUGAGAACAG
rfam:Acyrthosiphon pisum strain LSR1 Contig33333, whole genome shotgun sequence.